rnacentral:SRP_RNA from 14 species
GAGCUUCAGCUGCAGGCUACGCGUGAACGUGAUGGUCACUUUCGGAAGGAGGCAGCAGAAGAGGUACGGCGGAGGAACUUCCACGUUGCGAGUGGUGAGCCCUGGCGAAGCGCCCGCUACGGCA